UACGAAGGGUGCAAACGUUGCUCGGAAUUACUGGGCGUAAAGGGCUCGUAGGCGGCCAACUAAGUCGGACGUGAAAUCCCCAGGCUCAACCUGGGAACUGCAUCCGAUACUGGAUGGCUUGAAUUCGGGAGAGGGAUGCAGAAUUCCAGGUGUAGCGGUGAAAUGCGUAGAUAUCUGGAGGAACACCGGUGGCGAAGGCGGCAUCCUGGACCGGCACUGACACUGAGGAGCGAAAGCCAGGGGAGCAAACGGGG
rnacentral:rRNA from 1 species